rnacentral:rRNA from 1 species
GUAGGGGGCAAGCGUUGUCCGGAAUUACUGGGCGUAAAGAGCGUGUAGGCGGGAAUUUAAGUCAGAUGUGAAACCUUUGGGCUCAACCCAAAGCAUGCAUCUGAUACUGGAUUUCUUGAGGGUAUGAGAGGAAAACGGUAUUCCUAGUGUAGCGGUGAAAUGCGUAGAUAUUAGGAGGAACACCAGUGGCGAAGGCGGUUUUCUGGCAUACAACCGACGCUGAGACGCGAAAGCGUGGGGAGCAAACAGGAUUAGAUACCCUGGUAGUCCACGCCGUAAACGAUGGGUACUAGGUGUAGGAGGUAUCGACCCCUUCUGUGCCGCAGUUAACACAUUAAGUACCCCGCCUGGGGAGUACGGCCGCAAGGUUG